GACAGAGGGUGCAAACGUUGCUCGGAAUCACCGGGCGUAAAGGGCGCGUAGGUGGCCCGGUCAGCGUGCGGUGAAAGCUCGGGGCUCAACCCCGAGUCGGCCGUGCGAACUGCUGGGCUCGAGCACUGUAGAGGCAGGCGGAAUUCCGGGUGUAGCGGUGGAAUGCGUAGAGAUCCGGAAGAACACCGGUGGCGAAGGCGGGUCUCUGGGCGAAUGACUGACGCUGGAGGAGCGAAAGCGUGGGGAGCGAACAGG
rnacentral:rRNA from 1 species